AGUUGUUGGCUUGUUCUGGAUCCAGCAGCUGUCUCUUGUCUGAUCUCUGGUUCUUCGGACUCAAGCUAGCAGCUUACCUGUCCAUCUUGGGAUUCAUCCAUCUUCACGGCCUGCAGACAAGAGUCUUGCUCCUCAACCUGCCUAUCUUGGAUUCGCCAGCCCCUGUGGGUUCUGAGAUGAGUAAACGCCUCCUGCUCCUGAUUCUGGGUCUCUCCCUGCUGUUGGACUUCCUGCAAGCUCUAACUUGUCACAAGUGUUUUUAUGUUCAUCCUGAUGGAAAUUGCGCCCAUAAUAGAACCUACUGCCAUGCCAUGCAAGGACAGCAGUGCAUUUUGAAGAAGAACUAUCGAGGUAAACGUCUACACUAUGGAUUCCAGGGAUGUCAACUCAGGUGCAAAAGAAAUAUGAGGUCCAUUGGAAUUUAUCUAAGUAUAUCUUCCUGCUGCAAAAACAAAAAUUUCUGUAAUGAACUUUGAGUCUUGGACCUUGAUCCCAAGCCUUGGUCCUCCUAUUCACCCCUUCUCUGUUCUCAUGUGUAAGCCUCAGAGAACUGAGCUUUCUUUCCCCUGCGUUGUCUAAGCCCUGAAGGCGGCUCCUGUCCAGCUACAAGUGUUCAAGUUUCAACAUCAACUCAUCCGAUGGGUGUUUUCUCCCUCUCACCAUCCAUGCUGUUCUGUCCUUUCUCAGAGUUUAGUCCCCUUCUUUGCUUUUUUCCUUCCUUCUGCAUAACUCAUUUUAAAUUAGUUGAGGCUUGUUUUAUGGGCACUCCUAUGGACUGAAAUACAUCCCCCAAAAUAUGUGUUAUAAAUCCUAACCUCUAUACUGUGGUUAUAAUUUCAGUUGAGAAAUGUUUGUCUUUGUUAUGUUAAUGAAGCAGGGUUAUCAUUGUUGUUGUUAUGUUCCAUCAAGUUGCUUCCUGUAGGGCAUAUCUUGAGUCAAUCCCUUUUGAGAUGUAAAAGAGAUUAAUCAAAGAAGCAGAACAGAGAUGAGGUAAUAUAGAUGUCAAGACACAUGGAGAUCUCUAAGGAUCCAGGAAGCAGAAGCUGAAGAGACAAAGACCUUCCUCCAGAGCCCACAGGGCAGAAAGAUUUCCCCUUGAGCUAGUGUUCUGAAUUUGGGCUCUGAGCCUUCUAAACUGGAAGAGAACAAAUUUCUGUUUGUUGAAGCCAUCCACUUGUGGUACUGAAACAGAUAGGGUUAACUGACCUGGCUGAACGAAAGAGCUCUUAAAAGAUUACCAUCUAGAAGUUGGGUAAACAGGAACCACACCCUGUCAACAUGAGAUAAGGUUGAAACAACCUGUGAAUUACUAUCUCCUCAGUGUUUUUUUAGUCCAUUCUCCCUUUACAAACUCCAGCAUGCACAGAACAAAGUGUGACCACUGUUUAACCUUCCUUAGCCCUCUGAAGAUGGUGAUGUAGUGCCAAAUAUCAGUGAGGUUAAAAUAUAUCACAUAAUAAGUGAUGCCAAGGGCUGCUGAGAUGUGCUCUCAACCUAAUUAACAGGCACUGCCAUUCUGAGAAGUACCCACCCCUUGAAAGAAGCCCAGUAAAUAUUCAUUACUCUACUGUCUCCACCGAACCCAUACGAGCCCUCACCUUGCUUCCCUUUUCAAGUCAGUUUUUGGAGAAGUUUAGUUCCCCGCUGACUCCUUUUGCCUGCCUCAACCAAAAUAAAGCUUGCUGAAGAUAA